rnacentral:rRNA from 1 species
CGGUGAGAUGCAUAGAUAUUACUCAGAACUCCGAUUGCGUAGGCAGCUUUCUAAACUGUAACUGACGCUGAUGCACGAAAGCGUGGGGAUCGUACAGGAUUAGAUACCCUGGUAGUCCACGCUGUAAACGAUGAGCACUGGUUGUUGGCAAUACACCGUCAGCGACUGAGCGAAAGUAUUAAGUGCUCCACCUGGGGAGUACGUCGGCAACGAUGAAACUCAAAGGAAUUGACGGGGGCCCGCACAAGCGGAGGAACAUGUGGUUUAAUUCGAUGAUACGCGAGGAACCUUACCUGGGCUUAAAUGUAGAGUGCAUUGCUUGGAAACAGGCAUUUUCUUCGGAACUCUUUACAAGGUGCUGCAUGGUUGUCGUCAGCUCGUGCCGUGAGGUGUCGGGUUAAGUCCCAUAACGAGCGCAACCCCUAUUGUUAGUUACCAGCACGUAAUGGUGGGGACUCUAGCAAGACUGCCGGUGUAAACCGUGAGGAAGGUGGGGAUGACGUCAAAUCAGCACGGCCCUUAUGUCCAGGGCUACACACGUGUUACAAUGGCAAGUACAAAGAGCAGCCACCUGGCGACAGGGCGCUAAUCUCAAAAGCUUGCCUCAGUUCGGAUCGAAGUCUGCAACUCGACUUCGUGAAGGUGGAUUCGCUAGUAAUCGCGCAUCAGCCAUGGCGCGGUGNUACGUUCCCGGGCCUUGUACACACCGCCCGUCAAGCCAUGGAGCCGGGGGUACCUGAAGUC